UUCCGGUUUACGUGAGGUCACUUCCGGUUUGAUUUUGGGUCACUUCCGGUUUACCUGAGGUCACUUCCGGUCUAUUUGGGGUCACUUCCGGUUUGAUUUGGGGUACUUCCGGUUCAUUCUGGGUUCAUUGGGGGCACUUCAGGGUCAAUCCAAGAUGGCCACCACACUGAAAGUGGGGGUCAAGGGUUGAAUUGUGAAAGCAUAGUGGAAGUGGGGGUGAAGAGCGUGAAUAUGGUAAGCAUAAGGUGAACAAAGUGAAUAAAGUUGGAAUGGGUUGAAUCGGUUGAAAAAUGUAGAAAUUAGAAGGGAAAAAGUAAAUUUUUGGAAGAUUUGGUGUGAAUUUCAAAAUUGAAAAUUUGGAAUUUUUUGUAAGUGGGAAGUUGUGGAAUAGGUAGGCAAAAGAUGAACAGUUCAAAGUCGGAACGAGUUGAAUUGGUU